GGGUCGAUGGCGUAGCUGGUUAUUGCAUCUGUCUAACAUGUUAGUAUUCCAACUAGAUCAUUUACACAGAAGGUCCUCAGUUCGAACCUGGGUCAACUCA